CUAUUCUACACUAGAAUUCUAUCAAAUGGAGAGUUGCUUCAGUUCUACAUUAUUUGCAAAAGGAAUAGAAAAGGUAAUUUGGCAAAUGAGGGGUUUAAGGAUUGGACAUAUCUUGGCACUAGACUUAAAGAGCAUGAGACAAGUGCAGGCCAUGUUUUGAAUAUGACCACUUGGUAUGAGUUGCGUACUAGAUUGCAAAAGCAUGAAACUAUUGAUAAAGCCGCUCAGCAACAAUUUAAGAGUGAAAAGGACCACUGCAGAAAAGUUUUGUUGAGAAUCGUUUGGAUUGUUUCAUUUCUUACCAAGCAUAAUCUAGCCUUUUGUGGUACUCAUAGAAAAUUGUAUGAAGACAACAAUGAAAAUUUCUUGGGUUUGGUUGCUGAAUUUGACCUGGUUAUUCAAGAGCAUGUUCAUCAUAUUACAAAUGAUGAAACUCAUGCUCACUAUCUUGAUUUUAAGAUUCAGAAUGAGUUCAUACACUUGCUUGCUUCUGCUAUUCCGUCUAAGAUUGUUAAGGUAAUAAAGAGUGCAAAGUAUUUAUUUGUCAUACUUGAUUGUACCCCUGAUGCAAACCAUCAAGAAUAGAUGCCUAUAAUCAUAAAAUAUGUUGAUUCAUCUUCAAACCAUGUCUGCAUAUAAGAAUCUUAUCAAAAAAUAGAUGUAAAUGAUACAACUAGGCAAGGACUUUUUGAAGUGCUAGAAAAUGAACUAGAGCUUCUAGAUAUUGAUAUAGAUGAUGUGAGAGCAUAAGGUUAUGAUAAUGGGUCAAAUAUGAAAGAAACCCAUCCAGGAGUCCAAAGGAGAUUGAAUGUAACUCCUAGAGCCUUCUAUUAUGCUUGUGGUUGUCACAGCCUUAAUUUGACACUUUGUGAUAUGGACAAGACCUGCGGUAAAGCUAAACACUUCUUUGGAAUUAUCCAGCGCAUAUAUACAACCUUUGCCAAUUCUACUAAGAAAUGGUGUAUUCUAAAAAAUAACAUAACAUGAUUAAAUCCCAAGUCAGUGUCAGCUACACGCUGGGAGAGUCGUGUUGACAGUGUUAAAGCUAUUUAACUUCAAUGUGCAGACAUUCGGGAGGCCCUACUUCAAGUACCCAAUAUUUUCGUAGUAUCCGAGACGAGCAGUGAGGCUAAAGGUUUGGCAAAUAGUGAACUUGGAGAGUAUGAAUUUAUAGUGGCAAUAGUCAUUUGUUCUGAGGUAUUGUAUGUGUUAGUUUAGUAAACAAACACUUGCAAGCAAAGGAUAUGUGAUGUUGCUAUUGAGAAAGUGCAAGGACUGGUUUCUUUCUUCAAGGGGUAUGGGGAAACUGUUUUUGUAGAAGCAUUGGUGAAAGCCAAAGGAAUUGCACUUGAGAUGGAUAUUGGUUCAACAUUUCGUAAAAGAUGAGAAAUUGUAAGAAAGAAACAUUUUGAUGAGAACCCAGAUGACACAAAUGCUGCCACACAGUCUGCGGAGGAAUCAUUUGGAAUCACCUAUUUUAUAUGUAUUGUUGAUCAAGCAGUUAGGUCACUUACAAGAUGAUUUGACCAAUAUCAAGGUUACCACAAAAUAUUUGGUCUCUUAUUUACCUCUGAAACAUUGCAAUCAUUAGAUAAGAAGAGCUUGAAAACUUCUUGUGAUAAUCUUGAGGUUGCUCAUAAGGAUGGAAAAUCUGACAUUGAUGCUAAUGAACUUUUGAAGCUGACAUUUCUUAAAAAAUUCAUUACAAAAGAAAAUAUUGGGUCAGUUGAAAUUCUAAAGUUUUUAAAGCGGGAGUGUUUCCCUAAUGCAAGUAUUGCAUAUAGAGUUCUCAUGACUAUACAUGUGACUAUUGCAUCAGCAAAACAAAGCUUUUCUAAAUUGAAGCUACUGAAGUCCUAUAUAUGCACUACCAUAACACAACAUAGACUCGCUAAUUUGGCCACAAUAGCACUGGAGAGUGAUGUAUUGGAGAAGAUUUCUGACGAUGAUAUCAUUGAAGACUUCAUUACAAAGAACACUAAAAGAAUGAUGUUAUUUAAAUGA
rnacentral:rRNA from 1 species